CCUACGGGAGGCAGCAGUGAGGAAUAUUGGUCAAUGGACGAGAGUCUGAACCAGCCAAGUAGCGUGAAGGAUGACUGCCCUAUGGGUUGUAAACUUCUUUUAUAUGGGAAUAAAACGUUCCACGUGUGUGAUUUUGUAUGUACCAUAUGAAUAAGGAUCGGCUAACUCCGUGCCAGCAGCCGCGGUAAUACGGAGGAUCCGAGCGUUAUCCGGAUUUAUUGGGUUUAAAGGGAGCGUAGGUGGGUUGUUAAGUCAGUUGUGAAAGUUUGGGGCACAACCGUAAAAUUGCAGUUGAAACUGGCAGUCUUGAGUACAGUAGAGGUAGGCGGAAUUCGUGGUGUAGCGGUGAAAUGCGUAGAUAUAACGAAGAACUCCGAUUGCGAAGGCAGUUCACUGGACUGCAACUGACACUGAGGCUCGAAAGUGUGGGUAUCAAACAGGAUUAGAUACCCGUGUAGUC
rnacentral:rRNA from 1 species